rnacentral:rRNA from 1 species
CGCGUAGGCGGUCAGGCAAGUCGGAUGUGAAAUCCCUCGGCUCAACCGAGGAACUGCAUCCGAAACUGCCCGACUUGAGUCCCGGAGAGGGUAGCGGAAUUCCCAGUGUAGCGGUGAAAUGCGUAGAUACUGGGAGGAACACCAGUGGCGAAGGCGGCUACCUGGACGGUGACUGACGCUGAGGCGCGAAAGCGUGGGGAGCGAACAGGAUUAGAUACCCUGGUAGUCC